GCUCCUGGUGCAAUUGAUAUCAGCCUUGGUGCUGCAGCUGGGUAGACAGAAACUCAGGUCCUUUACAGCUUCCUUAUUUCCAGAAAGCUUUGGAGACAGACAACACCCCCAGAGGAAGGCAGAUCUGAGCGUGGCCUGCUGCCCCUAGGGCAAUCGAUAUCAGCCUUAAUCCAGCCUUCAGUGUGGACAGAAACUCACAUCCUCUGGGGCAUCCUCCUUUCCAGAAAACGUCAGAAUCAGACAUUCUGAAGAAGGCCUCACUGUGACCUGAACAAUUCGAGACAGACAACAUCCCCAGAGGAAGGAAGAUCUGAGUGUGGCUUGCUACCCCUGGGAAAUAAAUGUCAGCCUUGGUGCAGCACCUGGGGUAGCCAAAAACUCACAACCUUUCGGACAUACUCAUUUCCAGAAAGCUUCAGAGGUCAAAAACUAGAACAAGUUACCAUCCUUUCAAGUGAACAAGUUAUUUUCAAGGAAAGAAAGUGAGCAGCUACACCGCAGGACUGGAAUCAGGUCUUCCGCUUCAGAGGAUGGG